GGGGCCUUUGUUCAGCAGCAGAGCCUCUGCUUGGCAUGUCGAGGGUCCCGGGUUCGAUUCCCGGCAGCUCCA
rnacentral:tRNA from 1 species